CAAUUUUGAUUAUUGAUUCAGGACCUAACCUCAACUCUUGAAUUAGGACAUGAUUUCUUAAUCCUGACCUUACCCGAAUGCCCGACCUUGUUUCCAACCUUGAAAUUUAACUUGGGAUACAACUUCUGAAAUGGGACCAGACUUUUGAACAAUGACCUAAACCCUACCCUGAAACCCAAUACAAAUCAUAACUUUUAAAGAAAGACCUUAACCCGACACUCAACCCCAAAACUUAUUCAAGAUCCAAACUUUACUCUUGA
rnacentral:lncRNA from 1 species